GUAUUAAUUGCGUGUUAUCGCAAGAGACAUUCUACACUGUAUCGAGUUUGUGUGAAAACGCGAGCCCCCUCCGAGAUGAUCCCAAAGGGUGCCCACGCGGUGAUGCACAAAGGGUGAGAUGGAUUAUUAUGUGAGGGAACACACCCGGGCGUGCACGACUUUGGGUCAGCGACAGCCCUUGCAUGCCCCUCACAUUUUGUACGAUAAUGAUCCUUCCGCAGGUUCACCUACGGAAA
rnacentral:misc_RNA from 1 species